UCCGGUUUGUCACCGGCAGUCAGCUUAGAGUGCCCACCAUUACGUGCUGGCAACUAAGCUCAAGGGUUGCGCUCGUUGCGGGACUUAACCCAACAUCUCACGACACGAGCUGACGACAACCAUGCACCACCUGUCUCCUCUGUCCCGAAGGCCGCCUCUAUCUCUAGAGGAUUCAGAGGGAUGUCAAGACCUGGUAAGGUUCUUCGCGUUGCUUCGAAUUAAACCACAUACUCCACUGCUUGUGCGGGUCCCCGUCAAUUCCUUUGAGUUUCAGUCUUGCGACCGUACUCCCCAGGCGGAGUGCUUAAUGUGUUAACUUCGGCACCGAGGGGUGGACCCCCCCAACACCUAGCACUCAUCGUUUACGGCGUGGACUAC
rnacentral:misc_RNA from 1 species